rnacentral:tRNA from 1 species
GGAUCUGUAGCUUAAUUAGUUAAAGUCCCAUCUUGUCACGAUGGAUUAUGUCAGUGCAAAUCUGAUUAGAUUCG